GACGAACGCUGGCGGCGUGCUUAACACAUGCAAGUCGAACGGAAAGGCCCUGCUUUUGUGGGGUGCUCGAGUGGCGAACGGGUGAGUAACACGUGAGUAACCUGCCCUUGACUUUGGGAUAACUUCAGGAAACUGGGGCUAAUACCGGAUAGGAGCUCCUGCUGCAUGGUGGGGGUUGGAAAGUUUCGGCGGUUGGGGAUGGACUCACGGCUUAUCAGCUUGUUGGUGGGGUAGUGGCUUACCAAGGCUUUGACGGGUAGCCGGCCUGAGAGGGUGACCGGCCACAUUGGGACUGAGAUACGGCCCAGACUCCUACGGGAGGCAGCAGUGGGGAAUAUUGCACGAUGGGCGGAAGCCUGAUGCAGCAACGCCGCGUGCGGGAUGACGGCCUUCGGGUUGUAAACCGCUUUCGCCUGUGACGAAGCGUGAGUGACGGUAAUGGGUAAAGAAGCACCGGCUAACUACGUG
rnacentral:rRNA from 1 species